rnacentral:rRNA from 1 species
UCCUACGGGAGGCAGCAGUGGGGAAUUUUGGACAAUGGGCGCAAGCCUGAUGCAGCAACGCCGCGUGCGGGAUGACGGCCUUCGGGUUGUAAACCGCUUUCAGCAGGGACGAAGUGAAAAUGACGGUACCUGCAGAAGAAGCACCGGCUAACUUCGUGCCAGCAGCCGCGGUAAUACGUAGGGUGCGAGCGUCGUCCGGAAUUAU